rnacentral:rRNA from 1 species
UGGGGAAUUUUGGACAAUGGGCGAAAGCCUGAUCCAGCAAUGCCGCGUGUGUGAAGAAGGCCUUCGGGUUGUAAAGCACUUUUGUCCGGAAAGAAAUCCUUGGCUCUAAUACAGUCGGGGGAUGACGGUACCGGAAGAAUAAGCACCGGCUAACUACGUGCCAGCAGCCGCGGUAAUACGUAGGGUGCAAGCGUUAAUCGGAAUUACUGGGCGUAAAGCGUGCGCAGGCGGUUUGCUAAGACCGAUGUGAAAUCCCCGGGCUCAACCUGGGAACUGCAUUGGUGACUGGCAGGCUAGAGUAUGGCAGAGGGGGGUAGAAUUCCACGUGUAGCAGUGAAAUGCGUAGAGACGUGGAGGAAUACCGAUGGCGAAGGCAGCCCCCUGGGCCAAUACUGACGCUCAUGCACGAAAGCGUGGGGAGCAAACAGGAUUAGAUACCCUGGUAGUCCACGCCCUAAACGAUGUCAACUAGUUGUUGGGGAUUCAUUUCCUUAGUAACGUAGCUAACGCGUGAAGUUGACCGCCUGGGGAGUACGGUCGCAAGAUUAAAACUUAAAUGAAUUGACGGGGUCAUAGCUGUUUCCU